UAGCUAGUUGGUGAGGUAAUGGCCCACCAAGGCAACGAUCGGUAGCCGGACUGAGAGGUUGAACGGCCACAUUGGGACUGAGACACGGCCCAGACUCCUACGGGAGGCAGCAGUGGGGAAUAUUACACAAUGGGGGAAACCCUGAUGCAGCGACGCCGCGUGGAGGAAGAAGGUCUUCGGAUUGUAAACUCCUGUUGUUGAGGAAGAUAAUGACGGUACUCAACAAGGAAGUGACGGCUAACUACGUGCCAGCAGCCGCGGUAAAACGUAGGUCACAAGCGUUGUCCGGAAUUACUGGGUGUAAAGGGAGCGCAGGCGGGAAGACAAGUUGGAAGUGAAAUCUAUGGGCUCAACCCAUAAACUGCUUUCAAAACUGUUUUUCUUGAGUAGUGCAGAGGUAGGCGGAAUUCCCGGUGUAGCGGUGGAAUGCGUAGAUAUCGGGAGGAACACCAGUGGCGAAGGCGGCCUACUGGGCACCAACUGACGCUGAGGCUCGAAAGUGUGGGUAGCAAACAGGAUUAGAUACCCUGGUAGUCCACACCGUAAACGAUGAUUACUAGGUGUUGGAGGAUUGACCCCUUCAGUGCCGCAGUUAACACAAUAAGUAAUCCACCUGGGGAGUACGACCGCAAGGUUGAAACUCAAAGGAAUUGACGGGGGCCCGCACAAGCAGUGGAGUAUGUGGUUUAAUUCGACGCAACGCGAAGAACCUUACCAAGUCUUGACAUCCUGCGACGAUGCUGGAAACAGUAUUUUCCUUCGGGACGCAGAGACAGGUGGUGCAUGGUUGUCGUCAGCUCGUGUCGUGAGAUGUUGGGUUAAGUCCCGCAACGAGCGCAACCCUUACUGUCAGUUACUACGCAAGAGGACUCUGGCAGGACUGCCGUUGACAAAACGGAGGAAGGUGGGGAUGACGUCAAAUCAUCAUGCCCUUUAUGACUUGGGCUACACACGUACUACAAUGGCGUUAAACAAAGAGAAGCAAGACCGCGAGGUGGAGCAAAACUCAGAAACAACGUCCCAGUUCGGACUGCAGGCUGCAACUCGCCUGCACGAAGUCGGAAUUGCUAGUAAUCGUGGAUCAGCAUGCCACGGUGAAUACGUUCCCGGGCCUUGUACACACCGCCCGUCACACCAUGAGAGCCGGGGGGACCCGAAGUCGGUAGUCUAACCGCAAGGAGGACGCCGCCGAAGGUAAAACUGGUGAUUGGGGUGAAGUCGUAACAAGGUAA
rnacentral:rRNA from 1 species